rnacentral:rRNA from 1 species
GACGAACGCUGGCGGCGUGCUUAACACAUGCAAGUCGAACGGAAAGGCCCUUCGGGGUGCUCGAGUGGCGAACGGGUGAGUAACACGUGGGUGAUCUGCCCUGCACUUUGGGAUAAGCCUGGGAAACUGGGUCUAAUACCGAAUAGGACUCCGGACUGCAUGGUCUGGGGUGGAAAGCUUUUGCGGUGUGGGAUGGGCCCGCGGCCUAUCAGCUUGUUGGUGGGGUGAUGGCCUACCAAGGCGACGACGGGUAGCCGGCCUGAGAGGGUGACCGGCCACACUAGGACUGAGAUACGGCCCAGACUCCUACGGGAGGCAGCAGUGGGGAAUAUUGCACAAUGGGCGCAAGCCUGAUGCAGCGACGCCGCGUGGGGGAUGACGGCCUUCGGGUUGUAAACCUCUUUCAGCACAGACGAAGCGCAAGUGACGGUAUGUGCAGAAGAAGCACCGGCCAACUACGUGCCAGCCGCCGCAGUAAUAC